UACGUAGGGUGCGAGCGUUGUCCGGAAUUAUUGGGCGUAAAGAGCUUGUAGGCGGUUUUGUCGCGUCUGCCGUGAAAGUCCGGGGCUCAACUCCGGAUCUGCGGUGGGUACGGGCAGACUAGAGUGAUGUAGGGGAGACUGGAAUUCCUGGUGUAGCGGUGAAAUGCGCAGAUAUCAGGAGGAACACCGAUGGCGAAGGCAGGUCUCUGGGCAUUAACUGACGCUGAGGAGCGAAAGCAUGGGGAGCGAACAGG
rnacentral:rRNA from 1 species